rnacentral:misc_RNA from 1 species
GCUUAUAGGAAUAAUAAUGUGGGGGAGCCUAAUUUAUGUCAUGGAGGUUGCAGCUAAAUUUGCAUUUGUGUGAAAUAUGUGCAUGUUUCCAAAUUGUUCAUUUAUAAAUUAUUGAUGUCCACUUUUAGACAACACCCAUAACGUAUUAGCAAGAAAUCUUAAAGAGCUCUGGUUUAAGAUUGGCAUAUUAUUUUUGUCCCUGAGUCAUCAUAGAAGAAUACACCCUUAAAGUAUGCACAACACCCUUUGAGAUGUUUGAUAAAAUUGAACCAUAAUAGAAGAAUAUCUUGGCCUUUGUGUAAUGAUGGUGUGUUUAUAGAAUUUUAGGUUGGAAUUCAAGUCACUCUGUUCCAUAUCAUUGUAAGGAAUAGGAUUUAAGUCAGUGUGGGUAACUUGUUUAAAACAUUUUAAAUAUGCAACAAAGACCUAUCAAUAUAUUAUCACAAAGGAGUGGAUAAGUAUGAGUUUAUGGGGGAACAGUAAUUUUAUACUUGGAUGGCAACAAUUUUUAUUUUUUUAAAUUUGCCUACUAGUUUUAAUUCUUUACAUUUGAAAGAUGGUGCAACUUUUUCCCUGCUAAUCCUAGUUCUACAAUUUUCUGUUACUGCACUUAUAUUGUUGUUGUUGCAUCAUUGCCAAUGGGAUUGCUUUCUUGUACUACAGAAUGUUGGAUAUCUUAAUAAGGAGCAAUGUAUUCAUUUGUUUGAAGAACUUAACAAAUACAGGUAACUUUAUGUUACUAUCGUCAAUAGUCAAUACACUACAUGACCCAUUAAUCUGAAAAAUUUUGUGGAUAUGUUAAGAACCUUAACUUGUCCCAUGUGAUGCCUGAGAAUGGAGAAGAUACCAUAUAUGAAAUGAAGAGGUGCCUCAGAGUGUGAGAUAUUUCUUGUUUUCUUUCUCCAUUGAUUUGAUGAAAAUAAGCUUAAUUGGUGAACCAUGACAUGAUAUAAUCAUAAUUUAUUAUUGGAAUCUAAGAUGCAUAUAUGGUUUUUUUGAUAUUUGGUAUGUAGUUUUCUACAUGAUAUUGAAUUCUCU